CGCCUGCACCGUUUUCCCACCGGUGUAGCAAAACUUGCACCCAAACCGUUCUUUUAUUCCGCAGGUAGUACACCGUUUCUGCACUCGAUCGCCAACGGUGCAGUAAAUUCUACACCCUGAUCGAGUUGGGUGUAGCAGGUACUGCACUCUUUUUACCAAUACAUGCAUGAUGCUUAGCUGUCAGUGAUAUUCGUGUUUUGAUCGCUUUGGUAGGUUUUGUUGUUUUCGCUGUCGAGCAGGUGAUAUCGUUUUCAGUUUUCGGUCAUUAUUGAGUGCGUGGAUAAAAUGGAUUUGAUCAGGAAUUUGAUUGAAUCAUCUGAUUCAGAAGGAGACGAGGAAAUGUUCCUUGCAUUUUUUCAAAUAAACGGUACCACAAGAAAUAAAAAAUCGCGCGCUGAAAAUUUUAUGAGUACGAUUGAUCGAUACAAUGAUGAAGAGUUUCGCAACAAUUUCCGAUUAACGAGGAGUACAGCAGAACUUCUUAUUUGUAAAUUUGAAAAUUCUGUUUUUUCAAUGAAGCAGAAGAACGGGGCAGAAGUAGUCUAUGUGCAUAAAAACAAAUGCUAUCUUUUUUAUGGUUCUGUGCAAAUAAAAACUCCUAUAGAGAGAUUUGUAAUUUGUUCGACAUGUCGGAGUCAACAUUUUUUCGACACACGGAAUCUAUCCUAGAUUUAUUCCAUGAAAUAUCUAAGGAAUACAUAAAAAUGCCCAUGACUGAUGCAGAAAAAGCGAACGUCGCGAACGAAUUCGGAAAGCUCGCCGGAUUUAAAAACGUUAUCGGUUGCAUCGAUGGAAGCUAUAUUAAUGUUCGAAAACCAGCAAACAAAAUUCGCUCCACAUAUAU